rnacentral:rRNA from 1 species
AUGCUGUCUGAGCAAUGGGGGGCUGUUUUGGAUGCGGUUAAUAAAAUUCCCUUAACUGACAAGGAGGAUCGAGUGGUUUGGAGUCUGAACCAGAAUGGUAACUUUAGUACCAAAUCUGUUUAUAAGUUGCUGGAGAAACCCCUCAGUGGGUGCCAUUAUAAAUGGAUUUGGAAGGCCAAAAUCCCACUCAAGAUUAAAAAAUUUAUGUGGAAACUUUCGCAAGAUGCGGUGCUGACUAGACAGGUGAUGCGUCAUAGGAAUUGGUCUGGGAACCCUGUUUGUUCAUUAUGUAAUGAAAUUGAGACUUCACAGCACUUAUUCUUUACUUGUUCGGUCGCUAGGGUGGUGUGGCGAUCUAUUGGGGUGGUUAUUGGUACUGAUAAGUGCCCUGAUAACUAUUGGCAAUUCUUUGCUUGGUGCUAUUCCUUUCUUCCAGGAGGAGACAAGUUUUAUACUGUUGGUCUUGCUGCCACCUGCUGGGCGAUCUGGCUUGCUCGCAAUAAGGCUACCUUUGAGAAAAAGCAAAUUAAGUCUCUCUUUGAAAUUGUGUUCUCUAUAUGCUCCUUUCUUUUGUACUGGACAGGACUGCAGAAGGGUGAUGACGCUGACAAGCUUCGCUCAGGCGCCGAGAUGAUCAGGACCAGCACGAUGCAGCUGAUGAGACUUUGCGGAACCAAUACCCAGCCAAUUGGAGGAGCGUGA